rnacentral:rRNA from 1 species
AUGGACCAUUCCAUCCCUUUUUCCCGUGCAUAUGCAUCGGAUUUGGAUGACGAAGGUCCCGAUGAACAAGUUGAUGAGGAGGGGUUCACGGUGAAGGAGGCCGAAGCUUUCGAGAAGGUAUUCGGUCGGGAUCAGAAGACACCAUUGUUCAAGGAUGUUAGUCUCGCGGAUGAAGCCGUUGUGAAUGGUGGCAAAUCUAUAUCUCUUGCGGUUAGGCCAAGCUCUCACCGUGAUUUGGGAUACGACAAGAACCGGAUUGCUAAAGGGUCUAAGUUCGAAACCUUCUUGGAAUUGAAGAUGUGGCUCGACAACUACUCGGUUACGCAUUAUCGUCCACACAAGGUGGUGCACUCGGAUGUCAAUGUGCGCUACACGGUUGCAUGUGCAUGUGAAGAUGAUAUAUGUCCGUGGAUUGUGCAUGCAAGAACAUGGAAAGGAGGUCCCACUUGGAACGUAGUGAGUUGUGUGCCAACUCACAUGUGCCGAGGAAAAGGGUGGAUGGCAAGAUUGUGUCCCAAGACCACAGACAACUCACGUCCGAGUUCAUCGCUUACAGGCUCUCGAACUCAAUAUCCACACUUCCAACAAUGA